ACGGGGUAUCCGGCCUGAGAGGGUGAACGGACACACUGGAACUGAGACACGGUCCAGACUCCUACGGGAGGCAGCAGUAGGGAAUAUUGCUCAAUGGGGGAAACCCUGAAGCAGCAACGCCGCGUGGAGGAUGAAGGUUUUAGGAUUGUAAACUCCUUUUGUUAGAGAAGAUAAUGACGGUAUCUAACGAAUAAGCACCGGCUAACUCCGUGCCAGCAGCCGCGGUAAUACGGAGGGUGCAAGCGUUACUCGGAAUCACUGGGCAGUAAAGAGCGCGUAGGCGGGAUAGUCAGUCAGGUGUGAAAUCCUAUGGCUUGACCAUAGAACUGCAUUUGAAACGUACUAUUCUAGAGUGUGGGAGAGGUAGGUGGAAUUCUUGGUGUAG
rnacentral:rRNA from 1 species